rnacentral:lncRNA from 1 species
UGCCUGAGUCUGCUCACCACCCUCCCGGGGAAGGACUCGGUAUAAAGGCAGAUGUUUAUCUGCUGAGUACCUGCUAUGAGCAGAGCACAGUGCCAGGAGCUAUUGUCAAAGAGAAGCACCUUUCCAGGAGCUUCUCAUAGAGAAGGCAAGACUAACACCUGUGAUAUAAUUGUCAAGACACUUGACACAGAGUCUUUAACACGAUUUGUGAUCGUGGGUGGAAGAUGGACUCAGAAGUUACCCUCAGGGAGCUACUGUUUUUGAUGCUGACCCAGAAGCACUUCUUUCCGGUCUGGAGAUGGACAAUAAUGAAGCCCAUGAUUCCUGGGUGUGCUUCAGAGAAUGUAUCGGCACCAAGAAGAGAUCUAGAGCUGGGAUGCCAGAAAGAGUGUUUGAAAUCCAGCAUUCACUGUUCCUGAGGCAACUGGCCCAUCACUUAGAAUGUCUUCAGAAGGUCAUCUUUCUCUUUGCGCCACAGAGAGCUCCCCACCGGCAUGGGCCUAACCCUGUGUGGUUGAAUAACUUCUGCUCUUAGUGGAAUGGGGACCGCCAAGCAUUAGAAAAACAAGAAUUUCCAAUCUAGAAGAUUCUGGGGGAAGAUAACCCUUCUCUUCAAAUAAAACUUCAGUGAUAACUGUACUUUCAG